rnacentral:rRNA from 1 species
GGUUGAAGUGGAGGUAAAACUCCAUGGAGGACCGAACGCACGUUCGUUGCAAUGACCGGCGAUGACCUGUGGAUAGCGGUGAAAUUCCAAUCGAACCCGGAGAUAGCUGGUUCUCCCCGAAAUAGCUUUAGGGCUAGCGUUAUCUUAGAUUACCGGAGGUAAAGCACUGAAUGGGCUAGGGGGCGAUAAGCUUACUGAACCCUAUCAAACUCUGAAUGCCGGAUAAUUGAUGGAUAGCAGUCAGACAGUGUGAGAUAAGUUUCAUUGUCAAAAGGGAAACAGCCCAGACCUACAGCUAAGGUCCCAAAUGUAUGCUAAGUGGAAAACGAUGUGGAAUUGCGAAAACAACCAGGAUGUUGGCUUAGAAGCAGCCACUCAUUAAAAGAGUGCGUAAUAGCUCACUGGUCGAGUGACUCUGCGCCGAAAAUUUAACGGGGCUAAACUAUACACCGAAGCUUGGGAUACAUCUAAUGUAUGGUAGGAGAGCGUUCUGUAUGGGGAGAAGUCGUAGCGAAAGCGGCGGUGGACUAUACAGAAGUGAGAAUGCCGGAAUAAGUAGCGAGAAUUAAGUGAGAAUCUUAAUGGCCGAAAGUCUAAGGUUUUUGGAGGAAGGUUCGUCCGCUCCAAGUAAGUCGGGAGCUAAGGUCAGGCCGAAAGGCGUAGCCGAUGCACAUACGGUUGAUAUUCCGUAACCAUCUGUAAUUUAAGCAAAGGGACACUUCAAAAGGGUGUGACCCGGGCGUUGGUUGACCCGGGCGUAAGGGACCGAAAUUAGAGUAGGGAAGCACACUUAGCUGAAGGCGAGAAAAGCUUUGCGUAUAGAAACAGAUGCCCGUACCGCAAACCGACACAGGUGGACAGGAAGAGAAUUCUAAGGCCAGCGGGAGAAGGGUAGUUAAGGAACUCGGCAAAUUGACUCCGUAACUUCGGAAUAAGGAGUGCUCGAAAGAGCCGCAGAGAAUAGGCCCAGGCGACUGUUUAGCAAAAACACAGGUCUCUGCCAAAUCGAAAGAUGAAGUAUAGGGGCUGACACCUGCCCGGUGCCGGAAGGUUAAGAGGAGGAGUGAGAGCUCCGAAUUGAAGCCCCGGUAAACGGCGGCCGUAACUAUAACGGUCCUAAGGUAGCGAAAUUCCUUGUCGGGUAAGUUCCGACCCGCACGAAUGGUGUAACGAUCUGGGCACUGUCUCAACUACCCACCCGGCGAAAUUGUAGUACCGGUGAAGAUGCCGGUUACCUGCGGCAAGACGGAAAGACCCCAUGGAGCUUUACUGUAGCCUGAUAUUGGGUUUCGGAAAUCUAUGUACAGGAUAGGCGGGAGACUGGGAAACAUGAGCGUCAGCUUGUGUGGAGUCGAUGUUGGGAUACCGCCCUUAGGUUUCUGGAAUUCUAACCUGCGGCCGUGAAUCCGGUCGGGGGACAUUGUCAGGUGGGCAGUUUGACUGGGGCGGUCGCCUCCGAAAAGGUAACGGAGGCGCUCAAAGGUUAGCUCAGCACGGACGGAAACCGUGCCUCUGAGUGUAAACGCAAAAGCUAGCCUAACUGCGAGGGUGACGGCCCGAGCAGUAACGAAAGUUGGAGUUAGUGAUCCGGCGGUAUGUGAAUGGAAAUGCCGUCGCUCAACGGAUAAAAGCUACCCUGGGGAUAACAGGCUGAUCUCCCCCAAGAGUCCACAUCGACGGGGAGGUU